CUUUUCAGUUCUGUCUUCCUGAGGCUGCUGUUUCUGGGCAUGGCCAGGGGAUCUUCAGACUUUACAAACCAGUUGUGCAGAGCCAGGCAUUUCAAUAAGGAACAAAAUGCUGAGUAACAACAUGAAGUCAGAGUGUUGCUUGCCAAGAGCUGGGAGGCCUGGGUGGUUUCCCAAUCUUAAAGAAGCAGAAGGAUAUUAAAGUGAGCCUCCCAAAGGAAAACGUGGAUCUACUUACCAACGCAGAAAAUGAUACACACGGAUUCGAUUUAGGCACGCUACAUUCAAAUGACUUGGAAGAGCAGGUUCUCUGAGCCAGGAUACUAAAGUCCCUGUUUAGGAAAGAGCCACGUUGUAUGUUUACCCUACCACAAAGAUACAGUCAUGUGCCUGGGAAAGAUUGAUGCCAGCUCCAGAAAGGCAUCCGAAUGGUCUAAGUAAUGCCAUCCAUCUGUCAGUAAUAGAUUCAGAAAUGGUGCUGGCAGAGGAAACAGCAGCAAUGAUGCUCUGCGAGCCUGACUCAGGGCCAGCAGUGAUGGCAGCCCAAGAAUUCUGGAGGAAAGUGGCUCUGGGAAUUGAACAGUGGCUCAGUGAUGUUGGGGCCACCAAGUCUGCAAUUCUCCCUACCUGUUCUUCAUGGUUGUAAGAUGACUGCUGCAAUUCUCGGCAUCAUGUGCAUGUUAAUGUCAGGAGGAAGAAAGGAAGAGGGAGCACUGGGAUGUUACAUUCAUUUUGUCAGGAAAAGCAAAGCCUUUCCAGACAGCUCCGAAACUUGCUUACCUCUCAUUGGCCAGCACCAUCACUUGACCACUUGUCCACUCCUAGCUGCAAGGAAAGUGGCAAAGUAGAAGGUAUUUGAGAAUGUCUGCUGGGUUAGCCAAAACAAUAGUGACUUCUACACCCAAUUUUCUGGGCACUGCAGAAGUAUCCUUGAGUCCUAUGUGAUCAGAGGGAGAGCAAACCUCAAUAAUGAAACAGAUUCAAUUUCCAUCACCCAGUGAGACACCAUGGGAUUAGAAUAAAUUUUUAAAAAAACAAAUUGAAAAAAAUGCAUUUUUAAAACAACAAAAUCAGAAAGGAUGAAAGGUGAUAUUUCUAGCAUAUCAGUUUGUGGUGGUAAAUUAAUUACCUUAUACAAAGGCCUCAGUGACUUUCUUCUCCUUACCUAACGAAUCAUCUUUAAAAUAAGUAAAAUAAAGAAACAAGAGCAGCAGCAGAUGCUUCCUAAAAAGAAGUUACCAAAUCUGUUCACCACAAACCUGAGAAUUCAACUGUGGACAUUUGGACACCAGCAAUGAACAUGAAACUCAGCUUAUGAGGCAUAUUUGGCUAAAGGUCAAGGUGACUUAAAGUUCAUCAUAGGACAUCUACAAUUUGCAAAGCAGGUGACUGGAUAUGGACUCCUUCCAAGUCUCAUUUAAUUGGAUAAUGCCUACGUUUUAAGUAUCAGAAGUGAGUCUUUCUCUAUUAAAUGAAGUCAGUUCCACUAAAACCUAAAUCUUGUUUGGCAGGCACUCCAUGUUUCUUAAUUUUUAUUCCAUGCUGUAUAUUCUUUUAGACUUGAUUUUCACUUUUUUUUCUUUUUUCCUGUACAUUUAUCUUUGCUGUGAAACAAAGUGCCCUGCUUUGAAGGACAGGUUUGUGGGCUGCUGGUGGUGAGACAACAGCAGUCCUUCCAAGUCUUCCUCCCAUCACUCUGUUAGCUCUCCCUUUGUUUUUAAUUAGCAUUACACCAGUUAAUUCUGUUAUCUCUUAACCCUGGUUCUGCAUCCUCUUCUUCUUUUCUAUUCCUUACUCCGCUCCUGUUUUUUCUUGUUCUGCUUUUCCAAGAAAUGUCUUGUCUCCUCAUCAGUUGACUGUCUUCUCUUUCCAGAGGGACCAUAAAGGUGCCAGCCUAAGGAACACGUAAAACGUGGGAACAGACAAACAAGCUGCUGCCUAUUACAGAGAUAGAUAAUUAACUUUGGACCAUUACAUGCAAUUCAUCAGCUUAUCUUUUUCAAACUUUAUAUAAGAAGUCAUUUCCCAAUGGUAACCACUUGCCAGCUGCAACUUUGACGCAUAUUAUCAGGAUAGGUGAGAUUGAUGGGGGCCCUUUGAACUCUUCCCAGGGAAUUAUCUUUAUAAUGUUACAGUUUUCUCUAUAGCAUGGUCAUAUUGUUAACAUUGGUUAUAAGGUCAUAUGGUUAGUAUGGUUAGUAUUGGUGGCUCACAGCUGUAAUACCAGCACUUUGGGAGGCCAAGGUGGGAGGAUCACUUGAGCCCUGGUGUUCAAAACCAGCUCUGGAAACAUAGCAAGACCUUGUCUCUACAAAAAAAAAUUAAAUAAAUUAAAAGAUUAGCUGGGCAUGGUGGCACAUGCCUGUAGUCCUCACUACUUGGGAAACUAAGGUGGGAGGAUCCUUUGAGCUUGGGAGGUUGAGGCUGCAGUGAGCUGUGGUUGUGCCAUGGCACUCCAGCCUGGGUGACAGAGUGAGAGCCUGUCUCAAAAAAAAAAAAAAAAAAAAAAAAAAGUACCUGUAAGGUCUUUGGGAUUUUGAAGAUGAAAGGUGUUGCAUAAAUUGAAUGAAUUCACUUAGAGAGAUAGAAGGCAACUACAGGGAAUAUUACGUACAUCAUGGAGCGGAAAGCACUAAGGCCUGUGGAAUUAUUCUCAGUGACACGUCGUUGAGGGCAGUGGUCCACAUGUUUUGAACAUGGUUUCUCCCAGGUGAAAAGGAUGAGUAAUUUGUUCUCCUUCACAUGUGUGUAUGUAGGUCUUAUACACAGCAGAUUUGCCACAAAACAAAUGAAGAUUACACUUUGGGCCCCUCUCUCACAUGAGCCCCUUCCAAAGUUCUGUUUGCUAAUUUUACAUUUUGUAAUUUCUUAUUAUUUUUCUUAAAGAAGCCUCCUCCAAUUGCAUAAACUUCAAGCCUCACAAAAUUUGGAUCCAUACCUGAGCCAACAUACAAUACAAUUUUCCAUUUCUAACUUUUAGUUGUACCUAGUGUUUUAUUGGAAAUGAUCAAGUACAUGAGUGGUGUCUUUUUAAAAAAUUUACUUUAUUUGCUUCUCUAGCUUCAUCGUUAGUUAGGCAGUUAAAUCUAACCAUUUGGAGGUAUUUUCAUAUAACCUCCAUUGAGGACAAUUUGGCAAUAGCUUUUAAAAUUAUAAAUAUAUUUGUACAGUUAUAAGCUGCCAUAUCUAUAAAACUAUUUGAUAGACAAAAGUUGAAAACCCUCCAAGAGCUCAUCAAUAAAAGAUUAAAUUAAUUAUGAUACAUCCAUAUGAGCACUGAGCAGCUGUGAAAAAAAUGAGGAAGUAAUUCCUGUGCUGAUAUGGGAAGACUUCCAAGACAUGUUGUUAAGUACAGAAUGGUGUAUACAGUAUGCUAUAUAGUGUGGUAAAAGGUUUAGGGAUAAGCAUUUAUAUUUAUAACUGUUUAUAUUUACAUAAAGUAAUUCUGAAAGGAUACAAAAAAGCUAACAAAAGAGAUUACCUGUGGUAGUGUGGGGCUUGGGGAUUGGAUGGGUGAGAAACAGUAGUGGAAAUGAGAUAUUGUACAGUUUAAGGCAUUAUACACCUAUAAAAACAUGGGAAUGUAUUACCUACUCAAAAAGUGAAAUUAAGAGAGAUACAAGAAACUGUUUGGAUGUUCCUUCCCGUUUCAAUGUAUCUAUAUUUUUUCAGCCCUCAAAGUUAUUAUAAAUGUCAUUAUAAUAACUUCAUAAAGCUUCCCCUAUAAUGAGAAUCUUACCAUUCUCCUAACUCCAAUAGCACUGUAAUCCACCUCUGUUAGGACACAUCACUCUUCAUCAUGUGUGAUUAUUAUUUGCAGAUAUCAUCUUCAAGGCUCUUCUCUAUUUACCACCUGCCAUUCUUGUUCUCACCUCUACAUGACCUUCACAUUUUAUUUCUCUCGGUUUUUUGGACAAGCUACAUUCCCUUCCACAGAGAAGGCUUCCCUGACCCCUUUCACUUGGUUGGAUUACCUUGCUAUUCUUUUCUAUCUUUGUACAUUCCUUUUCAAAAUACUUAUCUCCCUUGUUGUUACCUAUAAUGUCUGUCUUCUUUACUCAAGAGUCUAGACAAAAAGCUCCACGCCAGCCUCGGCUGUGUUUGUAUUGUUUACGUCUGUGUUCCUAGUGCUUAAUAAAAUACCUAGCAAGGGUUAAUAAGUACUUGUUGACUGGAAGGGAAUGACUUCCUUCCCUUACUAGAGAGUGAUUUCCUUACAGGCGAGAUGUGUCAACCUUCUAUAGCCCACAUAAAAUAAAGGACAAUAUCUCCUAUUGGAUAAAAGACAAAAAAAAAAAAAAAA
rnacentral:lncRNA from 1 species